rnacentral:rRNA from 1 species
GACGAACGCUGGCGGCGUGCUUAACACAUGCAAGUCGAACGAUGAAGCUGGAGCUUGCUCCGGUGGAUUAGUGGCGAACGGGUGAGUAACACGUGAGCAAUCUGCCCUUGACUCUGGGAUAACUGCGGGAAACUGUAGCUAAUACCGGAUACGAGGCUCGAAGGCAUCUUCGGGUCUGGAAAGAAUUUCGGUCAAGGAUGAGCUCGCGGCCUAUCAGCUUGUUGGUGAGGUAAUGGCUCACCAAGGCGACGACGGGUAGCCGGCCUGAGAGGGUGAGCGGCCACACUGGGACUGGGACACGGCCCAGACUCCUACGGGAGGCAGGAGUGGGGAAGAGUGCACAAUGGGCGAAAGCCUGAUGCAGCAACGUCGCGUGAGGGAUGAAGGCAUUCGGGUUGUAAACCUCUUUUAGCAGGGAAGAAGCGUAAGUGACGGUACCUGCAGAAAAAGCACCGGCUAACUACGUGCCAGCCGCCGCGGUAA